UGGCCUGGGAAGGCGGCUCAAGCAAGGAGCAGACACCGAUCUUGUUGGCCACGGUGCCCGUCACCACCUCGCUGCCAUACAAGUCGAAGAGGCCAAAACUAAGGCUCAGAAGAGUCAAGUAAUCAUACAAGGUCACAGAGCCAAUAAGAGGCGGAGCCAAGAUUAACACCCAGGCCGACCCCAGAGACAUCCUGAUGUUUUCUUGGAAAAUCAGAAUUUAGAGGCACCCAGAAGCCAGGGUCCCCUGAGGGGCCCUGGAGGAAGCCAGAGGCGGCCUGCCCCCAGCAGUGGGCAGUGCAUGUCCCCUGGCUGCCACUGGCUGCCACUGAGGAUGGGGAGGGAGUCCCAGGUGCCUGGAAAGAUCCUCCCACAGGCCAGCCCCGCAGAACCAGGCCUGUACGGGUGUCCAGGAGCACCAUGAAGCCCGAGGAGAAGCCGGCCACGACACUCCGGCCGCUGGGGCUGACAGCCAGGGAGCGAACCAGACCAGGGUUCAGCCCGCCGCUCAGGCGGAACUCAUGCUGCGGGCAGAGGAAGACAGCUGAGGUUUUAUUGAAGUACAGUGGAUUCGGAAUGCUGUGAUCAUUUCCGCCGUGUGACAAAGUGAUGUCAUUACAUGUGUACCUCCACUCUCGGCGUUUUAACCUUCCCUCUCCCUCUGAGGAUGACCAAAAACAAGCGAGCGACUGUUUACCACACAGACGGGAAAACUGAUGCUUCCGGCAGCAAAAUGGCAGAGCCGAUUCAAACUCAGGGAAAACGUGGAUUCAUUCCUUCACUGUGCACACGUGAGCACCUUCCACAUGUGCUGGGGGCCUUGAUGGGCAUCAGAAUCAGAAUGGCGAACAAGGGAGUUCCUGUCGUGGCUCAGCGCUCGUCCAGCACGGUGGGGUCCACCAGCCGCAGCUGCCCGUCAGAGAAGGCCACCUCCGGCAGCUGGCCCUCACUGCGGCCCAUGGGCUCCAGCUUCCGAUCCUGCGGGCAGGAAGCCCAGGGA